UACAGAGGCCUCGAGCGUUAGGCGGAAUCACUGGGCUUAAAGCGCGUGUAGGCGGCUCGUUAAGUGCCUUGUGAAAUCCCACGGCUCAACCGUGGAACUGCUGGGCAUACUGGCGAUCUUGGGCCACUCAGGGGUUGCCGGAACAAACGGUGGAGCGGUGAAAUGCGUAGAUAUCGGGAGGAAUACCUAUGGCGAAAGCAGGCUACUGGACCAUCACUGACUCUGAUCUGCGAAAGCUAGGGGAGCAAACAGG
rnacentral:rRNA from 1 species